GGACAAACAAACAAUUACAACUGUGUAAAAGAAAUCCAUUUGCAAGACCUUUUGAUGGAUGACACAUGAAAUUCUCCUCACGUCAGGAGAGCUACCACAUCCUCUUUCUCCCAGUCGAAUUCUGUCGACUUUAACCAGGAAUCCAGGAAUAUUCACUUCUCCAUUAGCCUUUACACCCGAAAGCAAAUUGAGGGGUAGGCCCACGGAACAACCUCCAUCCUUUUCAGGCGCUCCCUCCCUCCAGGCACUCUCAAACCGUCCUCAACCCCAAGAAACAGAGGAAUAAAAUAAACAUAUACCAACCCAACUGAUGAUAUACUGACACGGGAGAGAUUUUCCACAAUGGUGUGCAUAUUCGUUUCCUACAUCAGCAGCAACACCAUCGGCAUCACCUGCACCUCAGGGAUGCGAAGGAGGCUUCUCCCGCGCAGAUGCAAAUGGCGCUGUUCUUGCUCGUCUCUGAGGACCAAAUUGGUCCGACGCUUGACGACCCUGGGUUCGAACCCCAAACCUCUCACCACAAUCGCCGUGCACAACGUCGAUGAGGACUAUGACUUGCAACAUUCCGCGUAUCUGCCUGUAAAGAAGCGCAUGGUGAUGGGGCUCAUGACCGUGUUGUUCUGCGCGCACAAUUUCUACGUGCCCGUGAAAAUAGCAGGUGCCGCAACGUCCAAGCGUGUCAGGCUCAAGGACGUCCAGAACCCCAUGCUUCAGGAUGCUCUUAGGGCUGCCGUUUCCGGGAGUCUGGAGGACUCCGAGAGAAUAUUCUCUGACCUUAUUGCGCAGGAGCCGGAGAAUGCCAGUGUGUGGUCUAACAGGGGAAGCGUUAGGGUUUCUCUGAAUAAAUUUGAGGCGGCUGUGGAAGAUCUGUCGGAGGCUAUCAAGCUCGCUCCGCAAGCCCCCGUUCCGUUUCUCAACCGCGCCAUUGCCUACGAGGCACUUGGACGCUACCAGGAUGCAAUUGAGGACUGCAAAUCAGCAAUCGUUAAUGACCCGGAGGAGUUUGCUGCAUGGUACAAUCUGGGCAAUGUGGAUGUUAAAGUUCAGGAUUAUGAUGGAGCCUUGGUUGCAUAUGAAAGGGCUUCUACUUUAGCACCAGGAAUUGCUGGUUAUCGAUUAAAACAAGCACUAAUUCUUUUUCAGUUGAAUAGGCCUGAGGAAGCAAGAAAAUUAGUAGAAGGUCUUGUUCGUAAAUAUCCGAACUAUUCUGAGGCUCGUGCUGCGCUUGCUGCCAUCCUUUGGAGCGAGAAUCGUCGAAGUGGGGCUGAAGAGCAGUUUACACAGGCUACCAUACAGGAACCACUGUAUAGAAAUAUUGGGUGGUUAAAUGCAGAGCUUCAAUGGCCACCUAAUAUUGUUCACGCAAUGGAGAACUUCCUCUCCAUUGAAUAAUCUUCUUGGAGAUGAUCCAAUAUGGGAUGUCAGUGAAGCAGGUUAGAGGAUUAAAUGCUUCUAUCUGGUGCAUAGAGAGCCUCAUUGGAGUAUGUCAAGAAAGAUACAGAACUUAUAAUGUUGUGCUACUUUUGGAAACAUUCAAGUCCAGUGAGUGUUCAAGGAAGGAAUAGCCUUGGCACUUUGUUGUGGUUGGUUUUCAUUGUUUUUGGAAUGUGAUUUGCUGUACAAAUGACAGGAAAAUACGGUUGUGUUUACCAAUCGUUUCUAUCAUAAUUUGAAAAUGAAAUUUGAAAUGUUUCUCAAUCUACUCUAGUCACAGGUUUGUAAUAUAUGUACAAAAUUGUAAGCAACUCACUUUUACCAAUAUGUAAAACACUAGAUGAAAGAAUCUGGUAUACAUGUUUCCUGUAUGCAUCGCUGAAAGAAACAGCUUAUAUAUGUUUUAACACUUGGAAUUUAAUAAUAUCCUGGUACUGCAACAGAAAUUUCACUCCAUCGUUUGUUGUUUACCAUUUGAACAACAGAUGGUCUGGUGUUGCAGCCUCUUUUUAAGUAGAUUGCCCUUUUUGGGCUGUACAUGUUCCAUAUACAGCCAGAAGUUAUCAAGUUAUGAAAAUUGCUCUAUGCAAGUGCUGUGAGUUUAUGCUA